AUUUUUGUAUUUUUAUACCCAAUUUAAUGUAUUACUAUUUUAUAUCUUUGGGAAUAUUUUGAUGUUUUAAAUCAUCAAAUUGCUCUCGCCUCUCAGAAACGAAGCCUCCAUCACAGUUGUUGCAAUCAAAACCAGUUUCUUCAAAACCAUUUUUAGGGUUUAACAAUUUGACUCACCGUUAGGGUUUCUCUCAAUUCAACUCGUUGUUGUUGUUGCUAGCUUUGUACAAUGGGUGCCGAAAUUCAACAAGAUGGAUUGAAGGAGAAACUUGACUAUCUUUCACUCGUAUCUAAGGUAUGUACCGAGUUAGAAUCUCACACCGGAACCGGCGACAAGGUUCUCGCCGAGUUUAUUACCGAUUUAGGUCACUCGUCCGAGUCUGUUGAAGAAUUCGAUUCCAAAUUGAAAGAAAACGGUGCGGAGAUGCCGGAUUAUUUCGUUCGAACUCUUCUCACCAUUAUUCAUGCUAUUCUUCCUCCUAAACCUAAGAAGGAGAAAGAGAAUCAGAAGGAGAACUCUACCUCCAAGACUAAGUUUAAGGCGUUGGCGAUUUCAGAUGAUAGGGAUCGUGCUAAGGAGCUUAGGAACGAGAUUGAAGCGGAGGCUAGAGAAAAGCAGAAGCAGAUGGAACCGGACAGGUAUGAAAAAGGUAGGGAUGAUGAUGAUGGUUACAGAGAUAGGCGCAGGGAUAGAGAUAGGUAUGAUAGAGAUGAUAAAAGGGAUUAUAGAAGGGGGAAUGAUAGAGAAAGAGGCCGAGACAGAGAUGAUAGAAGGGGGAAUGAUAGAGAAAGAGAUAGGUACCAGAGAGAUGAUAAAAGGGGGAAUGAUAGGUACGAAAGAGACGAUAAAAGAGGGAAUGAUAGAGAUAGAGAUAGGUAUGAAAGAGAUGAUAAAAGGGGGAAUGAUAGGGAUAAAUAUGAGAGGCGGAGGAGAGAUGAGUAUGAAGAGUGUGAACAUGGAAGGGAGGAGAAUGUUGAUGAGAAAGGUAGUAAAGAAAGAGAUUCGAGGCAUGGUGGCUCCGGCGAACCCGAGUUGUAUAUGGUUUAUAAAGGAAGAAUUUCUAGGGUGAUGGAUACUGGGUGUUUUGUUCAGCUGGAUGAUUUAAGAGGGAAGGAGGGUUUGGUUCAUGUUUCUCAGAUGGCUACUAGGAAGAUUGUUAAUGCUAAGGAGGUUGUUAAAAGGGAUCAGCAGGUUUAUGUGAAGGUGAUUUCUGUUUCUGGUUCCAAGUUGAGUCUUUCCAUGAGGGAUGUUGAUCAGCAUACCGGGAAGGAUCUUCUUCCGUUGAAGAAGAGCUCAGAGGAGGAAGCUUUUAGGACAAAUCCACAAGAUUCGAAAGAUGGGCCUGUGGCUAGGACAGGGCUUUCUGGGAUCAGGAUUGUGGAGGAGGAUGAUAUUGGUUCUACCCGCAGGCCGCUAAAGAGAAUGAGCUCUCCUGAGAUAUGGGAAGCAAAACAGUUGAUUGCUUCAGGGGUUUUGAGUGUUUCAGAGUAUCCCACUUAUGAUGAUGAGGGAGAUGGAGUCAUGUACCAAGAGGAAGGCGCUGAAGAAGAGCUUGAGAUUGAGAUGAAUGACGAUGAACCCGCCUUCUUGCAAGGGCAGAGCAGGUACUCAAUGGAUAUGUCUCCUGUCAAGAUAUUUAAGAAUCCAGAAGGUUCUCUGGGUCGUGCUGCUGCGCUCCAAUCUGCACUUAUAAAGGAGCGUAGGGAAGUAAGAGAACAGCAGCAGCGUACCAUGCUAGAUUCAAUCCCAAAGGAUCUCAAUCGUCCUUGGGAGGACCCUAUGCCAGAGUCUGGGGAAAGGCAUCUUGCCCAAGAGCUGAGGGGUGUUGGCUUAUCGGCCUACGAUAUGCCAGAAUGGAAGAAAGAUGCUUAUGGGAAAACAAUUACUUUUGGGCAGAGGUCAAAGCUUUCUAUUCAGGAACAGAGGCAAAGUUUGCCAAUUUACAAGUUAAAAAAAGAAUUGAUUCAGGCUGUUCUAGAUAAUCAGGUCUUGGUUGUGAUUGGUGAAACUGGUUCUGGUAAGACUACGCAGGUUACACAGUAUCUUGCUGAAGCAGGUUACACCACCAGAGGUAAAAUUGGUUGUACUCAACCCCGUAGAGUGGCUGCAAUGUCUGUCGCAAAGAGAGUUGCUGAAGAGUUUGGUUGUAGAUUAGGAGAGGAAGUAGGUUAUGCCAUUCGGUUUGAGGAUUGCACCGGACCUGAUACUGUUAUCAAGUACAUGACUGAUGGUAUGCUUCUUAGGGAAAUUUUGGUUGAUGAGAAUCUGUCACAGUAUUCUGUUAUAAUGCUUGAUGAAGCCCAUGAGAGAACUAUUCAUACUGAUGUUCUUUUCGGACUGCUCAAGCAGCUGGUGAAGCGUAGACCUGAGCUGCGAUUGAUUGUCACAUCUGCUACUCUUGAUGCUGAAAAGUUUUCAGGAUAUUUCUUUAACUGUAACAUCUUCACAAUUCCUGGGAGAACUUUUCCUGUAGAGAUACUUUAUACCAAACAGCCAGAAAGUGAUUACUUGGACGCGUCUUUGAUCACUGUCCUACAGAUCCACUUGACAGAGCCUGAAGGAGACAUUCUUCUUUUCUUAACUGGUCAGGAGGAGAUUGAUUUUGCUUGUCAGUCUCUCUACGAGAGAAUGAAGGGAUUGGGCAAGAAUGUCCCAGAGCUGAUCAUUUUACCUGUUUAUAGUGCUCUUCCUAGUGAAAUGCAAUCUAGGAUAUUCGACCCUGCUCCUCCUGGAAAAAGGAAAGUGGUUGUGGCUACAAACAUUGCUGAAGCUUCUUUGACUAUUGAUGGAAUAUUUUAUGUUAUUGAUCCGGGGUUCGCUAAGCAAAAUGUUUAUAACCCGAAGCAAGGUCUUGAUUCCUUGGUGAUAACUCCAAUAUCACAAGCUUCAGCCAAACAAAGAGCUGGACGGGCAGGGCGUACUGGACCUGGAAAGUGCUAUCGCCUCUAUACUGAGAGUGCAUAUAGGAAUGAGAUGUCACCUACUUCUGUUCCAGAGAUUCAAAGGAUAAAUCUAGGCAUGACUACUCUUAGCAUGAAAGCCAUGGGCAUAAAUGAUCUUUUGUCAUUUGAUUUUAUGGAUCCACCAUCCCCACAAGCACUUAUUUCCGCCAUGGAGCAGCUUUAUAGUCUUGGAGCAUUGGAUGAAGAGGGCCUUUUAACCAAGUUGGGGAGGAAAAUGGCUGAAUUUCCCCUGGAUCCACCACUGUCCAAGAUGCUACUUGCCAGUGUAGACCUUGGAUGCAGUGAUGAGAUUUUGACCAUAAUUGCCAUGAUCCAGACUGGCAAUAUUUUUUACAGGCCCAGGGAGAAACAGGCCCAAGCAGAUCAGAAAAGAGCAAGGUUUUUCCAGCCAGAGGGUGACCAUCUUACACUUCUUGCUGUUUAUGAAUCCUGGAAAAAUAAAAACUUUUCUGGACCCUGGUGUUUUGAGAAUUUUGUUCAAUCUCGGUCGUUGAGAAGAGCCCAGGAUGUAAGGAAACAACUUCUCACCAUCAUGGACAAGUACAAAUUGGAUGUUGUGAGUGCUGGAAAAAACUUCACCAAGAUCAGGAAGGCUAUCACUGCAGGGUUCUUUUUUCAUGCAGCUAGAAAGGACCCCCAAGAAGGUUACAGAACACUAGUUGAGAAUCAGCCUGUAUAUAUCCAUCCAAGUUCAGCUUUGUUCCAGAGGCAGCCAGACUGGGUCAUAUACCAUGAGCUUGUAAUGACAACUAAGGAAUAUAUGCGUGAGGUCACAGUCAUAGACCCCAAGUGGCUUGUUGAGUUGGCUCCAAGAUUCUUUAAAGUGGCAGAUCCUACAAAGAUGAGCAAACGGAAGCGUCAAGAGCGUAUCGAACCACUUUAUGAUAGAUACCAUGAGCCAAAUUCAUGGCGUUUGAGUAAACGCCGUGCAUGACAUGCUUUCUCAGUUUCUCUUAAUGCAAGGUUGUGGAUACAAUUUAUGUUGGAUUUAGUAUUAAAUCUCCUUCCCUCCUUCCAAUCACACCUGGCAGAGAAGUCUGUUCUGUACAUAUCAUGCAUUGGAGCUAUUUUGCACUGUAGCAUUAACUGUAACUUCAUGAUGUGUUUGCUUCCUUUUGGAUGGAUUUAGGAAUUAAAUUGAGUAUAUUUUCUUUUACAGGUUUGCUUUCUAUCUUUGUGCUUAGUUCAAGAUGAUUCUCUUUGGCAAUGAGCUGGCCUAUUAAUUUAUGUCUUAACAACUAAUCAAGCUUUUAUCCUGUUUGUUUAGGAUAUUAGUUUCCACAAUAAUUACUAGUUUGUUGGUAACAUGUAUUAAUUGGUGGCAUCAGUGAUAGAGCCAUUAGCAUCAGUAGAAUGGAACACUAGGGUUGUGGCAUUAAUUGUAUGUUGUUGAUGACCUAAUCAUCAAAAUACUUCGUUGAUCUGUUAGGCAUUGUAUUGUGCAAAUCUUUAUUGUCAAUAGGGUGCUAUAUAGCCCUGACUUUUGCGGCAUAGCGUGGCAGAGCAGCCCCUCACCAUCUGUCUGCUAACCUCCUUACAGAGCAGUCCUUCACCGCCACACCUUCGGUUGGAUUAUAUGGUUUUAGUCGUCACAAUAGUGUAUUUUUGGGGUCCAGCGCUACGUUGUCUGAGAUUAACAACAUAGGUGCAGAUUCAAUUUCAAUUAAAUUUGCCCCAAGUGAAUGGCAACUGUGCUUCCUUGUGAUUUUGAUAGAAUUAUCUGCUUUGGAGUUUGCAGAGUUGUGUACUAUCAAUUGUUAAGGACUGUGGUAUGCGUCUCAAUCAACUAUGGUGUAUCUUUGAUUUGACUUUCCACAGAAACAAGCAAUUGGACAGGCAGUUGGAGAUAUUCCGUCACCUUCCUCUGUUCAUAUUUCCAAGUCGAUGCAAUCUAUUGAAGUAAUUUUUGAUGCUGUUGACAGCAAUUCCUUUGAAACAGUUUGGAAGGUAUUUUUGUUUUACACACUCUUAUGUGUCUUCGUAGUGAUCUAAUAUAAUUUAUUUUCCGCGGUUUUGGCCACUAUGUUGAGAAUGGAGAAAAACCUAUAGUUUUAAGCUAGUAAGUAAUUUACCUCAUGAUGUUGUCACCUGUUAUUGCAUUCCCCAACUGUGUUUUGUUCUGGUGAAUCUGUCAUCUGGUCAUUAGUAAAUUUGUUUGUUUUUGUAGGGUUUUCAAUUAUGGAAGUUAAAUUUAAUGGGGGAAAGCAAAGUUGGUAUGAAAUAGUGGUACCUGAGUAAAAUGGGGAAGGGAAGAUAAGUGUUGAUGAUUUGGUUGAAUUCCAGAGUACUUUAUUAAUGAGAAAACAACUCAUCAUACUUUAUUGCAAUUGAAUUUCAUGUUGAGUAAAUAAUCAUUCUUAUGGUU